CAAUAGCGUAUAUUAAAGUUGUUGCGGUUAAAAAGCUCGUAGUUGGAGUUCUGCCAGGUGACACUCGUCCGCCCAAGUGGUGUGUACAGGGUGUGCAUCUGGCCCUUUCAAGGGGAACGUGUCUGCACUUCAUUGUGUGGUGCGAGAUCCUUGACUUUUACUUUGAGGAAAUAAGAGUGUUCCAAGCAGGCUCUCGUCGUGCAUAGCUCAGCAUGGAAUAAUAGCAUUGGACUUCGUUUCUACGCUGUUGGUUGCAAGAAGCGAGGUAAUGAUGAAGAGGGAUAGUUGGGGGCAUUCGUAUUUAACUGUCAGAGGUGAAAUUCUUGGAUUUGUUAAAGACGGACUACUGCGAAGGCAUCUGCCAUGGAUGUUUUCAUUGA
rnacentral:rRNA from 1 species